CUUUGAAUUGCAUCCAUCCAUCCCCCAUCCAGAGGACAUGUCCCUCCUUUCUCCUCCCAAAUCCAGCACCUGCCAGGAGCCCACUGAUAACCCCCUAGCAGAACAGAAACUCACCUUCACCUCAGCCAGAAGCCUUCAAAACACUCUGAAUUAUCCCCCCCACCCCCUUAAGAAAAUAAAUAAGAGGGAAAUUUUAACCAGAUCAUCUACUUUUUAUUUCAGAGGAAAGAUUUGCAUUAUUUACCUUUAUUUAUAUACAUGUACUUCACAUUUGUAUUUAAAAUGCACAGACCUCCCAAGAAUUUUCUCGUUCCGGCUUUAAAUUAGCUGUUAUUUUACAAUACAAAAAAUUAUACCAAAAAACUGCAAUCCUAAAUGUGUGUAUGUAUAACACCCACAACCCCAGCAAUGAAAUAGUUUACAAUACUUGCUCCUAUUUACAUAUGAAUGCAAUAAAUGCUAAAUUAUACAUAUUAACAAACUAAGCUCAAGUCUGAACACAGAUAAGAAUCAUAAAUAAUUACAGAACAAAGAGGGAAAAAAAUCCAGAAUACAAUUAAUUCAAGGAUCUUAGUUUAAAGAACAUUUAUUGUGCACAAAUUUCAGAGUAAUAUAAAACUCUUUUUUUUCUUUUUUUUUCUUUUUUUUUUUUUUAAUGGACUGACAUGUGAUACACUCUGCGACAAUUGUUACUUUUCUCUUUUUUCCUACUGGUGAGGUUUGUGGAAUCAAUACUAAAUGGAGAGGAAAUGUCUAAAGAAUUCUAGUACCUGGAAGACGCACACAAAUCGUCUGUGUGAACAAAGAAACAGACUGAACAAAACCUGCCCUGAUGCAGAGAAAAUCAGCAGAUACACAUACUGUAGUAGUCCUGGCAUGGAAACUCAGCUUGUUUCAGCAGCUACCAACAGAAAAAGCAGGAAUUUGUCUAAAAUUGCAAAGAACACACCCAAAACUGAGGCGCACACCCCGAGCCAUCCCUUCCCUUCCGUCCCAGCCCAGCAAUUAUCAAUAAAUCCCAGCUUCCCAUGGGAAGGGGCUGAGGGCUCUGGAUGCAGCUGGUGCCUGGAGAAGGAAAAGCAGCUGGAACAGCUGGAGCAGCAAAGGACGGGGGCAGCCCAGCCCAUGGCACUGGAGCCCCAGCGGUAUGGAGAAGGCGCCAGGGGUAUGAAAAAGGCCCCAGGUUUGGUUUCAGCCCCAAAGGCUCCUUUCAGCUCCUGCAGGGCCAGCAGGCUCAGUGCCAUUUGCAGCACCCCACAAAGCCCAGCAGGGCCUGGGCACCUUGGGCACGUUCCUGCACAGAGCUGGAGCUCCUGGGCACCCUCCAAGGAGGACACAAAGCAUCCUCAGGAAGGUGGAUCUGCCAGCAGAGGCUGUCCAUGGUUCCACACUACUGAAUUUUGGACAUUACAUGCCAUGGCUUGA
rnacentral:lncRNA from 1 species